rnacentral:lncRNA from 1 species
AUAAAAUCUUAGAUUAAACGUCUUCCUCCAUCAGACUGUUCCAAUGUAAGUUAUUUUUCUUGGAUUCUCUUAUGAUGAACCCAUCUGGAACAAAGGUGUGGCUUUUGGAGUCCGGUGCUUAGAUGUGGAGACCUGUGACUAAGCAGUAUAAAGUCGUUCCUGGAUACUUAGUUGUGGACAGAUGGAGAGCAGUAACAGAAAGGACUAUAUCUCUUAGAGAAGACAAUAUAUCCUUUUUUGUUGUCUAGUUUCACAUAUGUUUAAUUUCCCUUACUAAACUGUAAACCAAUCUGGGAUUACAGCUUUUGCCGUAAUCGACUUUUCACAGUAUGCUGCACAUAGUAACCACUUCAUCUUAUUUGAAUAAAUAUUGAAGGAAUAAAUGUAAUCAGUCCUCAACUCCCCACCUGGCCCUGUCAUGCCCCAGAGCAUUCUUUUCUUAAAUUACUACUAUCCCCUUCAGCUCAAUCAAAAUAUUCAUUCCUUCCAUGUUAAGUGCUCUCUGCCAGGUGCAAAAUGGAAAGCUAUCUAAUUGAAUUAAUUCACUCUAAUAUGGGAACAAAAUCCAGAAUUAGCCCUUUAACCAUCCCAGAUGUAAUUGGUUGUUGUUUGAGGGCUUUUUUUCCCUAAGAGAGCUCAAUUGACUUAAAAACUGGUAGGAUAGAACAAAUGAAUAACAACAAAAAUAAACUGUAAAAUAAAAUGAAGUGAAGAUCUCUGGUGAUGAAGGAGAAAAAUAUUGGGGAUGGGUCUGCUCCACUAAGUUUUCUCUGCUCUCCGAUUGGUCCCUUCUUACCGUUCUGGAUCCAGGAACUCUGCACUUAGGAUUGUGGCAGCGGCCAAGAGGGCUCUGACUCCGAGGAGAAGGGUGGGGCAGAUCCAUCCUGGAAAUGUUAAGUGGACUUUUGUAAUAUUUCUUGAUUUACCAACUUACAAAUGAGUCAUGUUCCAAAUGUGUCUCUGUAAGAAGUAUCGGUCAUUCAGUCUACAAAUCUACAGAGGAAAGCUACUUGCCUACUUAAUUUAGUAUCAUCAGAACAGAGUCCUAUUACUGAGGGACCCAAGACCUUAGAAGGCAGUAAGUCUGUCAUGACCUGUGUAAUAUGUAUACACAAAUAUGUGCCCAGAACAAAGAUUCAGCUUUUAGCCAUUGAAUGGAUGUUGCCUCAGAGACAAACUGAAACCUUUAAUUUAGAAAGGUCAAGUUCACUCACAGCAUCCAUCCAGAGCCAUCACCAGUCAUCUUGAUUUUUGCUUUUGCCACUGGACUUCAGUGACAUUGGAUAAAAGAGUUUCAGAACUCCAUGUUGGCUGAAAGUAGGAAAUGAGACCCCGUUCCACUCCUAAGGCCAGAGACACUCAGGGGCUGCUUAUUUCUAGAUUUUCUCUUUGCUCAAUAUAUAACCUACCAUCCACAGCAGAUCUUCCCCUUGGAAUGCUACCCCUAAGUACAGGUCCUCUCCUCAGUAAGUCCUGGAUUUGUAGAACGACAGUCCUUCUGGUAGUGGCAAGGAACUGGAAAUUGAGUGCCCAUCAAUUGGGGAAUGGCUGAAUGAGUUAUGGUAUAUGAAUGUAAUGGAAUAUCAUUGUUCUAUGGGAAGUGACAAGCCGGCUGAUUUUAGAGGGGCCUGUAAAGACUUGCAUGGACUGGUGCUUGGUGAAAUAAACAGAACCAAGAGAACAUUGUAUACAGCGGCAACAAGAUUAUGUGAUGAUCAACUAUGAUGGACUAGGCUCUUUUCAACCAGAUAGUGAUUCAAGGCAAUUUCAAUGGACUUGUGAUAGAAAGAGCAAUCUGCAUCCAGAGAGAGGACUAUGGGGACUGAAUGUGGAUCAAAGCAUAGUAUUUUCCAGUAAGUAAAUAAAUAAAAGAUCCUUUUAUAGAACUCAAAAUAGAAGGCUUAUUAAAGGCAAAAUAACAUAUUGGUAAGAAUAGAAUCUUAGUAAAUAAGCAAAGGAACUUUGUUUAAAAAUAAAACAAGUUUCUCUUGUCUUGAAAGCGAUUGGAAUGGCAACCCCUCUGAACUCUUUCUGGUAAUAAUUAAAUGUCAAGACCACAACAUUUUUAGAAGUUUAGUAAGGGCUUGAUCACAAUGAAGAAUGAAAUAAGAAAGGUGGGGCAUGGAAAAGAAAUAAAGGAACUUGGAC